rnacentral:rRNA from 1 species
GCGAUACAGGGUGACAGCCCCGUACACAAAAAUGCACAUGCUGUGAGCUCGAUGAGUAGGGCGGGACACGUGGUAUCCUGUCUGAAUAUGGGGGGACCAUCCUCCAAGGCUAAAUACUCCUGACUGACCGAUAGUGAACCAGUACCGUGAGGGAAAGGCGAAAAGAACCCCGGCGAGGGGAGUGAAAAAGAACCUGAAACCGUGUACGUACAAGCAGUGGGAGCACGCUUAGGCGUGUGACUGCGUACCUUUUGUAUAAUGGGUCAGCGACUUAUAUUCUGUAGCAAGGUUAACCGAAUAGGGGAGCCGAAGGGAAACCGAGUCUUAACUGGGCGUUAAGUUGCAGGGUAUAGACCCGAAACCCGGUGAUCUAGCCAUGGGCAGGUUGAAGGUUGGGUAACACUAACUGGAGGACCGAACCGACUAAUGUUGAAAAAUUAGCGGAUGACUUGUGGCUGGGGGUGAAAGGCCAAUCAAACCGGGAGAUAGCUGGUUCUCCCCGAAAGCUAUUUAGGUAGCGCCUCGUGAAUUCAUCUCCGGGGGUAGAGCACUGUUUCGGCAAGGGGGUCAUCCCGACUUACCAACCCGAUGCAAACUGCGAAUACCGGAGAAUGUUAUCACGGGAGACACACGGCGGGUGCUAACGUCCGUCGUGAAGAGGGAAACAACCCAGACCGCCAGCUAAGGUCCCAAAGUCAUGGUUAAGUGGGAAACGAUGUGGGAAGGCCCAGACAGCCAGGAUGUUGGCUUAGAAGCAGCCAUCAUUUAAAGAAAGCGUAAUAGCUCACUGGUCGAGUCGGCCUGCGCGGAAGAUGUAACGGGGCUAAACCAUGCACCGAAGCUGCGGCAGCGAC